UACAGAGGGGGCGAGCGUUGUUCGGAAUUACUGGGCGUAAAGGGCGCGUAGGCGGCCCGCUAAGUCGAACGUGAAAUCCCCAGGCUCAACCUGGGAACUGCGUCCGAUACUGGCAGGCUUGAAUCCGGGAGAGGGAUGUGGAAUUCCAGGUGUAGCGGUGAAAUGCGUAGAUAUCUGGAGGAACACCGGUGGCGAAGGCGGCAUCCUGGACCGGUAUUGACGCUGAGGCGCGAAAAGCUAGGGGAGCCAAACGGGG
rnacentral:rRNA from 1 species